rnacentral:rRNA from 1 species
GACGAACGCUGGCGGCGUGCUUAACACAUGCAAGUCGAACGAAGAGCGAUGGAAGCUUGUUUCUAUCAAUCUUAGUGGCGAACGGGUGAGUAACGCGUAAUCAACCUGCCCUUCAGAGGGGGACAACAGUUGGAAACGACUGCUAAUACCGCAUACGAUCUAAUCUCGGCAUCGAGGAUAGAUGAAAGGUGGCCUCUACAUGUAAGCUAUCACUGAAGGAGGGGAUUGCGUCUGAUUAGCUAGUUGGAGGGGUAACGGCCCACCAAGGCGAUGAUCAGUAGCCGGUCUGAGAGGAUGAACGGCCACAUUGGGACUGAGACACGGCCCAGACUCCUACGGGAGGCAGCAGUGGGGAAUCUUCCGCAAUGGACGAAAGUCUGACGGAGCAACGCCGCGUGAGUGAUGACGGCCUUCGGGUUGUAAAGCUCUGUUAAUCGGGACGAAAGGCCUUCUUGCGAAUAGUGAGAAGGAUUGACGGUACCGGAAUAGAAAGCCACGGCUAACUACGUG